AUUCCAUGCUGUGGACAUUUCCUCAAUAAAGUCUUGAACCUCUCCCAUGCCUCAUAGAUGGAUUCUGACUCUUUUUUCUUGAAGCUUGUAAUUUAAUCCUUCAACUU